GAGAAAGGGAGAGAGAGAGGGAGAGAGAGGGGGAAAGAGACUGGGGCAGAGAAAAAGGGAUAGAUGGGAAAACGGCAGACCAGGGCUGUAUUUAUUGGGGGUGUGAGUGCCGCGCUGUAGGCUGUGGGAUGGUCGGGAGAGUGCAAGGUGUUGCUGCUAGGUGUGGUUGGGUUUACAGAUGGGGAAGAGCAUGCAUAGAUAGAAUGGUGGAGGCAAAAAAAAAAAAGAGGGAGAGAUGGAAGGAUUGGUCAUGCGCAAGACCGCAGGCCGUUGGAGGCAGCUUAGAAAUCUCUUACAUCUGGAACAGCCAUAAUUCGUGGGAUUUGGCCUGACAGCCAUGACAGGCAUUGGGGCGGCCAGCAACAACUGUCUCCUGUGUUAGCAGCAGUGUGUGUGUUAGCUCCGUGUCUGUGAGACAGACAGAGAAAGACGAAGAGCAAGAGACAAAGAGUGACAAUAUAAAGUAUGCGUGUAUAAAUGCAACUUUCUUUAUUUCUACAGGGAGCUUCAGGAAGAUUAGACUCACCUGUACAGGGUCUGCACAACUUUUUUUUGUUUUUGUGAGUUUGGACAUUUAUUAGGGCCUCUGUAUACAUUUAUCACAUACAUUCACCGUACAGUGGUGGGAAGUAACAUUUACUAAGUGCUGUGCUUUUAAAGUUUUCCCUUAAAUCUGACUAUAUACUUCUACUCUGAUGUGUUCAAGAGGCAAAUGUGGCGUUUUUAAUUCCACUACAUAUAUCUGACACUGUUUACUGGCUGCCGAUUCAUACUUUAAAAUAAUAUCAUCAAUAAAUCAAAUAUAAUUUUUUAAAAAUUGUUUUUGUUAAAUAUUAAAAUAUUCCACAAUAUAUUAAGUAAUUAGUCUAAUUUGGAUUGUACACAUACAAAUAUAGUUUCAAAUAAUGUAUCUAAAAUCUUGAUUGAAAAAAGUUUUUACACAUUUACACAGAUAAUAAUAAAAUACACUAACGUGGGCAUAUCUGCAUAAUUACUAUUUAUUUUUGAUGUUUUUAGUUGAUUUGAGAACACAUAUUAUUCAUCUUUAAGCCACAUUUUUAAUUGGCUUUUGCUUAUAUAUAAAUGUUUUUUUUUUAUAUUAUCAUGUGCGGCUUUUACUUAAGUUAAAGUUAUAGAUGUUUCUUCGGGCAAUAUUAUGAAUGUGACAGAAAUAAUAAUAAUGAAUAAAUAAUAUUUUAGAAACAAUAAAUAUUGAUGAUCAUUUAGAGAAAAGAAAAAUAUUUUAGAAAUCAUUUUGAAGAUCACCUCAGAUACUGUACAUAUACCUCGUUCUGUGUUUCUACACUUUUCUACAUAUGUAUGCAUGCACACGUAUCCAGGAGAUAUAAACUGACUCGCAGCAGAAAAAGCAGUACCGUCCAUGUGUUUCAUGGCGUGCCAGAGGCUCCCUGUGUCGGCCCUAAAUAUUACACACAGACAGUAGCUAUCACUUCCAAGCCUGAAAUCCCACAUUCCACAUUCCUGAUUCCAACGGCUCGCCUGCUAAGCUGGGCACCACAUGAAGAGCCAUUGUUAGAGAGAGAGAGGGGUCAUGUAUCUCUCCCUCGCACUCUGUCUGUCUGUCUGUCUGUCUGUCUGUCUGUCUGUCUGCCUGUAGCUCUCCGGGCCCUCCUUCCCUCUCUCGCUUUGUCUCUCCGCCCAUAUAUCUCUCACUGUCACAGUCUCCAUCUGUGACUCUCUUGCUCCGUCUAUCUUUCUAUUUCUCCCUCUGCCGGUUUAUCUUUAUCUCUCUUACUUAUUCCUUUUCUCCUCCGCUGUGCUUCGUCGCCCACUCUCCCACUCAGUUUUUCUACCAUCUUGCAUGUGUUUGUUUAUUCCGUUUCUAUACCUUGCUCAGCCUCGUGUCUCCCACUGAUGCUACUUGUCUGUGGCUCUCCUUCUCUUUACAAGACUCUUACUUUGCUUUCUGCUUCUUUUUUUUCUUUGUCUUCCUCCCCUCUGUACCCUGCUGUCUGUCUCUCCAUCUCCCUCUCCCUCUGUGUCUCCAGAUAUUCAUGUAGAGAUUUUCUCACAUGUUAGAUAUAGAUUUAUGACCCCAGCCAGAUCCCCGUGGCCACUAAAUUUGAUACCAUCCACUAAGCCACAUUGUUUUUUUGUGUGUUUGGGCUUGUCUGUUGUGUGUGACUGUGGGUAAGUAUGUAUGUGCAUGUCUGUGUGCGUGUCUGUGUGUGUGUGUGUGUGUGUGUGUGUGUUCAUGCAUUACAAGGUGGAGGCGGGUGACUUUUAAAGGGUUAGCUUGGGUACGGUGGGCGCAGAGGAGGAAUUUACAGUUUAUUGAAGCACAGCAGUCAGGUGUGUGUGUGUGUGUGCGUGUGCCUAUGUAUGUGUUUGUGUGUGUGUAUGUGUGUGUGUGCGUGUGUGAGAGAAAGAGAGCGCCUGUGGGUGCCAGGUGACCAGGCUAACCUCUUGGCUGGUGUUUUGGAUUUAGCCUUUGGAUAGCGGAGAAAAAUAAAAAUUGGAAUGCUUUUUCAAUUACAGAUCAGAAAGAGAGUGAACAAAGGCAGGAGUAAAGGAAAAGAUGAGUUAUUGGGAUCUAAUAUAUCAAGGCUUUGCACUCCUAAAAUCUGAGUGCAUUAAUUUUAGCUUUUGGAACAUUUUGUACUUGAACAGUUCAGCAGAGUCACAUAAUUUUGUUCAGGUUUUUAAAAUGAUUUCUGAUUUGUGUUGCAAAAGUUGUAUUUCAGGAUACUAUGUAUGUGUGUCAUAAAAAAAUUAGCAUAAAGCUGAGAAGUUGUUCUUUGCGGCAGUCCCCCCGACCCCUCCACGUCGUCUAAUAAUCUUAGAUUCUCAUGCAUUUGACAUGACACUACUGAGCUGUAUUAUAUUUGAGCUCCGAAGUAUGCACACAUAAGUGCAAAAAUAGACCAUGGGUAGAAUCGAAUAUGAAGACACACAGACACACACCUGUGGAAGACAGUCACUGUUACUUUGUUUUCGAUGCAUGUUAUUAAUUCUGACAGUAGUCUGUUUAAAGGUACUCGUCCUCUGCCAUGCAUAUUUUAUUGGCUGUAGGUGGUAUUUGUUGUGUAUUUACGUCUGUUUGUUUGAAUACUGCAUUCCUUCAACCUAUUCCACAAGUUGUCAAGGGUGGGGUAUUUUAAAAUGGCAUUGUAGAGGAUUGUAAUAUUGAUGUUUGUUUGUGUGAUGUGAAAUGCUAUUCCCCUUUUGAUGUUUGGCUGGGAGGAGAUACACAAAAUAAAAGCCGUGCAAAAUAAAGGUGUGUUUUUGCACGUUUGAGUAUGUUCCCUCAAAUUGUUUAUCUGUCAGUCAGACAGAGUGUGCGCACAUUGUCUGCGCUAGUGCGUGUGCUGCCAUGCAUGUGUGAAUGCGUGCAUGUGUCCAAGUCUACAUCUAAAAGCCAUAUCUGGCUUCAGAUCAAAUGGUGUAUGAAGGAGGGGAAUGACAGAAAGAGAAAGUGAUAGCUCUUUAAUGUUACCUAUUCACUCUCAAACCCAAAUAUAAGACCAGGAACACACAGAAUAGGCAAGUGUGUUUUAGAGGAAAAGGAGUGACAUGAAACACUUAUGUAGAAAAGCUCUGAACAUGACGUCGGCUUUGUAGCGGGGGGGAAAUGUCUCACGAAACAGAAAGAAAGUGAGUAAAUUGGAUGGAAGGAAGAGAGAAGGCUGGGGCAUGGAAUAAAACCGCAACACGCACUUUAUUGUUUGUUUGUGUACGUCAAGGUACAGUGAUAUUUUGUUUUUGACUGAAUACUAACUAUUGUGUCUCAGUUUUUCUUGUUCUGUUCUGAGGUGUCUAAACUUUCACUGCUGGUGUCUGACGAAGAUGUUUUUAUGACAACUGCAUUCAUGUCCAAAUGACUGUGUUGAUUCAUACUUUUUUUUAUCUCUGAAAUUACUAUACUGUUGCUUCUCAAUAGUCAGUUUAAUAUGGUAAUAAUUUUGUGCAUGGCUUCUGGAAAUAUGUUACAAUGUUUUAACAGUCAAGUAAUUUUCGCCCUUGCAAUGAUAUAUGUUUUGGCCGUUUCUCCUCAUCUUUGUCCUCCUUGUUUCAUACUUUUUUGUGAGCAGAAAAGGAUUAAAAAUAUUUACUGUCUACAUUUCUCCUACAAGUCCUUUUUUGAUUCCUCACUUUCCAUUUUCCCUUUCUUUCCUGCUCUUUUUACUCCUAAUUCUGAACAAGUGCUGUGCUGUGACUCAGAUAAGUGCAGAUAUGUGAAUAAAGGUAUCUCUGUCUUCCCUU